CCCAUAGCCAAUAGGUCAUAUAAGUCAUAAAGCCACAACCCAUAAGGGUGUAAUUGUAUAAAUUAAAAAUAAUUUGCAUACAUAUCCAUGAAAAUUUAUAAUUACAUAUAUAUCCAUGAAAUUAUAAUUCCAUACAUAUCCAUGAAAAUUGAUAAUUGCAUACAUAUCCAUGAUAAUCAAAGUACGAGGGUGAGAUUGCAAGUUUACAACGUUGCAUUAUUGAUGCCAUAUAAACAUGGUAAAAAACAAUAAGCUAGUGCUUGGUAGUUAUAACACGUUUG
rnacentral:lncRNA from 1 species